rnacentral:lncRNA from 1 species
GUCAUUUCUGCAGGCUGGUAUCCUAAAAACUAAGGAUUUACUGUAUGAUUCUAUAUAUUCACAGGGAAAAAAAAACUAAUUUCAGAAUUUGAAUGGAUAAAGUCUGGCAGGGACACUGGAAAUCUCUGGUUCCUAGUCCAAAUAUUGAAUUUGCUUUAAAAUCAACUUCUAGUCAAAUAAUUGAUUUCUGCUUCAGUAUCGUUAGUGAUUAUAAUUAAGUCAGUAGCAAAAGAGGAAAGGGUAUGAUCUCCCCUUGGGAAGAUGAAAAGCGGCUUAGUAUGUAGGAGUCUGAAUACAAUCUUUGGAAUCAGUUAAUGAGUUCAAAACCUAGCUCCAGCACUUAAUAUCUUUGUGGCUUUGGGAAAGGUCAGUUUUCUCAUCUAUAAGAUGGGACAAAUAAAUCCCCCUAGAGAGCUGUUGGAAGGAUUACAAAGUACACAUGUAAGGUAUAGAGCAAAAUGUUUGAUAUAGAGUAGGUACUGGGGGGAAACAUCUUUUUCCCAUUUUGAUCCUCUGGCAGCAGAAGACUAAACUGGGCCUCAGCAGGGGAAGGCAAUCCUUGGACAAUUGAGAGCAAGCAAGAAUGCAUUUCCCAAGAUAUUAAUCUUUCUUCCUUUUGAGAGGUUCAUGGUACUGUUUGGCCUAGGGCUUUCUGACUGAGCUUGCUGUAAACACACCCAGAAUAUAAACACACACACACAUACACACGCACCCCACCGCCACAACUACCACACCAGUUAAGUCGAUUAUGCUACAUUUGCCUACAGAUGCCCACAUAAAAUGCAUCCUAGUUUCCUGUGGUUGGCAGUCAUGGCUGCCCCCAGCAUGCUGGCCCUGAUUAAUGUGCGGGAUAUGUGGGUUUGGGGCAUUAACAUAUACCCAAGCCUUCAGUGAAAGGCCAGACUGCUCACGUAAACAGUCCUUGCUCAUUCUGUUUCUGUUUCCCACGACAUAAAAUAAACUGGCUGUCACAUAUGUAUUGUAAGUAAACCGAGAAGUUUCUGAAGUACAUAUAUGGCAAACCAGCUCAUAAAUAGAUGGCUGAGGAGCUUUUGUUUCCGAAGUAAACUGUGCGUAGACAAUGACCUUACAGUGGAAGAGACACCAUUUGCACCUAGCAUUGGUUGGCUUUAUUUUUUAUAACUACCUUACGAAGCCAUAAUUUACAUACUAUAUAAUCCAUGCACUUAAGGUGUUCAAUUCAAAAAUUUUUAGUAUAUUCACCGAGUUUUGUAGCCAUCACCACAACCAAUUUUAGAACAUUUUUAUCACCUUGAAAGCUCAAAACCAUUAGGACUUAUUCCCCCUCAUCCCUCACACAGUCCUUGAGAAUCACCAGUCAAUCUGCUUUCAGGCUCUAGGUGUGCCAGUUCUGGACAUUUCAAAAUCAAAUGGGAAUAUACGAUACAUGACUUUUUGUGCCUGGCUUCUUCCACUUAGCGUAAUGUCUUCCAGGUUCAUCCAUGCCGUGGCAUGGAUCAGUAUCUCAUUCUUUCUAUGGCUGAAUAACCUGCCCUGAUAGGGGUGUGCCGCCUUGUAUUUACCCAUUCAUCAGUUUAUGGACAUUUGGAUUGUCUCUCUGUUUUUCUACAUUUUGAAUCAUGUCGCUGCGGAACAUUCAUAUACAAGUUUGCAUGUGGACACAUAUUUCAUUUCUCUUGGGUGUAUAUCUACAAGAAGAAUUGCCGAGUCAAAUGAUAAUUCUACAUUUAAUUUUUCAAGGAACUGUCACACUAUUUUCCAAAGUGGCUAAUCCUGGAGGAAUCAGAUACAGGAAUGAUACUCUAUAGUUCUUUUGUUAAAAAAAACUUUUCUGCUAGCGCAAUGAACGUCCUAAGGAAUUUGGAACUUUAAUCUUGAGACUGGAAUUUGUGAGCUAACCAUAAAUCACUUAACCAAAACAAGACAAAAUGCUAUUCAACAAAACGUUGAAGGAAGCAGUAAGAUUAAUAACUAAAGAAAACAAAUGACUUCAAUACCAUAACUUUAAAAAAAAAACUAUGAAAAUAGAACCGUAAGUCAUCUGUCCAUUGGUCAAAGGUGUUAGCACUGCCUCUUGUAUCAAAGAUUAAGACCCUAGCCCGAUAACCUGUCAAGCAGAGUCUACUGAAGUGAUGUUUAAGUGAGUGGGGGGGGGGGUGGGAGGAACGGGAUGAUCAAUAGCAAAAAUAACAACCAACUUCUCAGGAUACUCUCUGGCAAGCUUUGUUGUAAACAGAGAGGAAAGCAUAGCCUAAGUUUCACCUGCAAUACCUGUUAUCCUUGCCACAACUCUGCAAGAUUUUUUUUUUUACUUGUUGCUCUUGGCAGAGGUAUGCUUAUUUGUUACUGAGAGGGGCAACAAAAAUCCUUCUGUAUUUGCCUCUUGCUGAGGUUAGCAGCCACUGGGAGUUCCUUGAGCAUAAAAUUCCAGGUAGGUACUAUAGACCCACCCUUACCCAGAGCUGAUUGGCCCAGGGGCAGUGAAUGACCCAACAGUCACCCAACUGGUAGGGGCCUAUGAGGAGGUGUGCUGAGAUGGUUUUCCCAGCAGGGAUGCCACAGCCCAAACUGAGCUAAUGGCAUUCUCUUUGUU